rnacentral:rRNA from 1 species
AUUGAACGCUGCGGGAUGCUUAACACAUGCAAGUCGAGCGAGUGGCGUACGGGUGAGUAAUUCUUAGGAAUCUGCCAAGUAGCGGGGGAAAACAACGAGAAAGGGAAGCUAAUACAGCAUACUAAUAGAUGAGCCUAACUCGGAUUAGCUAGUUGGUGGGGUAAAGGCCUACCAAGGAGACGAUCUGUAGCGGGUCUGAGAGGAUGACCCGCCACACGUGGACGUUGACACGGGCCCGAAUCCUACGGGAGGCCGCAGUGGGGAAUUUUGGGCAAUUGGGGGAAACCUGAUCCAGCCAUGCCGCGUGUGUGAAGAAGGCCUUAUGGGUGUAAAGCCCUUUAAGCGAGGAGGCGUUACUCGCAGAAUAAGCACCGGCUAACUCUGUGCCAGCAGCCGCGGUAAUAC